CCUACGGGCGGCAGCAGUGGGGAAUAUUGCACAAUGGGGGAAACCCUGAUGCAGCAACGCCGCGUGAAGGAAGACGGUUUUCGGAUUGUAAACUUCUGUUCUUAGUGAAGAAUAAUGCCGGUAGAUAAGGAGCAAGCCAGGGCUACCUACGUGCGAGCAGCCGCGGUAAUACGUAGGUGGCAAGGCUGGUCCGGAAUUACUGGGUGUAAAGGGAGCGCAGGCGGGAAGCCAAGUCAGAUGUGAAAAGUACGGGCUUAACUUGUAGACUGCAGUUGAAACUGGUGUUCUUGAGAGCAGUAGAGGUUGGCGGAAUUCCUAGUGUAGCGGUGAAAUGCGUAGAUAUUCGGAGGAACACCGGUGGCGAAGGCGGCCAACUGGGCUUUAACUGACGCUGAGGCUCGAAAGUGUGGGGAGCAAACAGGAUUAGAUACCCCGGUAGUC
rnacentral:rRNA from 1 species